rnacentral:misc_RNA from 1 species
AAGUCAUAACAAGGUUUCCGUAGGUGAACCUGCGGAAGGAUCAUUAAUAGUGCCCAUUGAUGCAAAUCAUUGGGUUAGAUCUGCCCUUAUCGCAAGAUGAGGGCUUCCAUAUACACCGUGAACUGUGGCUUCGGCCAUCACAAACUGUUAGUAAUGAAUGUAAUAUCAUAACAAAAACAAAACUUUUAACAACGGAUCUCUUGGCUCUC